rnacentral:rRNA from 1 species
AGAGUUUGAUCCUGGCUCAGAAUCAACGCUGGCGGCGUGCCUAACACAUGCAAGUCGAGCGAGAAAAGGGGAGCAAUCCUCUGAGUAAAGCGGCGCACGGGUGAGUAACACGUGGGUAAUCUGCCCUGAAGUGGGGAAUAACACCGGGAAACCGGUGCUAAUACCGCAUAUGAUCACGGUGUCUGCGGACACAGGGAUGAAAGGAGCAAUUCGCUUCAGGAGGAGCCCGCGGCUGAUUAGCUAGUUGGUGAGGUAAUGGCCCACCAAGGCUACGAUCAGUAUCCGGUCUGAGAGGACGGUCGGACACACUGGAACUGAGACACGGUCCAGACUCCUACGGGAGGCAGCAGUGGGGAAUUUUUCGCAAUGGGGGCAACCCUGACGAAGCAACGCCGCGUGGAUGAUGAAGUAUCUCGGUACGUAAAAUCCUUUCGACAGGGAAGAAACCGCAAGGUUGACGGUACCUGUAGAAGAAGCCCCGGCUAACUCCGUGCCAGCAGCCGCGGUAAUACGGGGGGGGCUAGCGUUGUUCGGAAUUACUGGGCGUAAAGGGCGCGUAGGCGGUCUGCUAAGUUGGAUGUGAAAACUCUGGGCUUAACCCAGAGCCUGCAUUCAAUACUGACAGGCUAGAGUUCUGGAGGGGAUAGCGGAAUUCCUGGUGUAGCGGUGAAAUGCGUAGAUAUCAGGAGGAACACCGGUGGCGAAGGCGGCUAUCUGGACAGAGUCUGACGCUGAGGCGCGAAAGCUAGGGGAGCAAACAGGAUUAGAUACCCUAGUAGUCC